rnacentral:rRNA from 1 species
CCCUACGGGGGGCAGCAGUGAGGAAUAUUGGCCAAUGGGCGGUAGCCUGAACCAGCCAAGUAGCGUGAAGGAUGAAGGUUCUAUGGAUCGUAAACUUCUUUUAUAAAGGAAUAAAGUGAGGCACGUGUGCCUUUUUGUAUGUACUUUAUGAAUAAGGAUCGGCUAACUCCGUGCCAGCAGCCGCGGUAAUACGGAGGAUCCGAGCGUUAUCCGGAUUUAUUGGGUUUAAAGGGAGCGUAGAUGGGUUGUUAAGUCAGUUGUGAAAGUUUGCGGCUCAACCGUAAAAUUGCAAUUGAUACUGGCAG